AUACGGAGGGUGCGAGCGUUAAUCGGAAUUACUGGGCGUAAAGCGCGCGUAGGCGGUUCGAUAAGUCUGAUGUGAAAGCCCUGGGCUUAACCUGGGAAUGGCAUUGGAUACUGUUGAACUAGAGUGCGGGAGAGGGGAGUGGAAUUCUCGGUGUAGCGGUGAAAUGCGUAGAUAUCGGGAGGAACACCAGUGGCGAAGGCGGCUCUCUGGACUGACACUGACGCUGAGGUGCGAAAGCGCGGGUAGCAAACAGGAUUAGAAACCCCGGUAGUCC
rnacentral:rRNA from 1 species